UUUUAAUACGGUUGUCAAUCUGAAAAUUUGCAGCAUGAAAUAUAAAACUUUUAUUUAAAUUAUGAUUGGGUUAUUUACAGAAUCUGAACAAAGAGCGCUCCUUUAGGGAUGAAUGGAUGGCUUCAUUGAUUAUAAAUGUAUAACCAAUGUAGCUAUUGGUUCACCUGCAGCACAAGAUCACUGAGUGAAAACUACCUUUAUAAUAAAUAAUAAUAAAAAAAAAUCGGUAUUGCGUAAUAAAUCUCUUAUCGAUGAGCAAGUAUUGAGAGCGUUCUGAUUUAGAAGCCUCUGAUUGGCCAUUGAGUUCACGCGCUCAUCAAACACGUCUGUGAUUGGCUACAGUGCUCAACGCUGCAAAAACACGUUGUAAAAAGAAACCUUUGAUGUUUAUCACAGAGCACGCGCACAUAAAUACGUACUGGGAUGUUUGAAAGCAGACGUCUACCAGCGGGAACCGAAUCGACACGUGCAUGAAAGAUGGAUGAUUACCAGGGCUGCAUGCGCCAGCUGAGCGACUGCCAUUGAGAAGAAUGGGAAUGCUGACAGAUACCUUUCUCCAGAUAUAUUAGUCAUAAAUAGAUGGCAGACCACCAGGGCCGCAUGUGCCAGCUGAGUGACUGCCAUUGAGAAGAAUGGGAAUGCUGACGAAUAGCUUUCUACAGAACAAUAACAUCGCACAGGUCUGAGACGACACGAGGGGGGAUUUUUGUUUUCGAACGAGCCGUUGCUUUAAGCCGCAGAGGAGUGCAAUUUUCUGGCAACUGAAUUUUCCAGACGCUAAUCAGACGCUACAGCCUAUGUCUGAUGGGAUGCAUUAAAGGUGAUUUGUUUUCCAGAACCCAAAGAGACACCUACAAGAUCAAGGUCAGAUGAAGCCACAAAACAAAAUUGAAUCGAGUAGCCGCAGAUGCUGGCUGAGAUCCAGAGGAAGUGGGUUUGUCAGCUGUGGUCACCAUAUAUUUUUAAUGGACAAGAGCAACUCAGUAAAAUCCCCUUUUGUGUUUCACAGAAAUGAUGCAAGUUAAGGAUGACUAAACGAUGACAUUAGCCUUUAGUUACGUCAAAGCCAUGAACAUGAUUUACAAAUUAGGGGGAGGGAAAUGAUCCAAGAGAUAAUUUGAUUGUAUAAAAAUCUGUAGUGCAGGAUGAGUAUUUUUUUCAUAAGAGAAAUCAUGUAAACUAAAAGACAAAAAAGUCAAAUUUUGAUUACAUUUUUAUUUUUUGUCUCUCUUUCAAAAUAAGAUCAGAGAAACAAGCUCCUUUGUUAAAUCUUUGUUGUUUACUCCACUGCUGGAAACUUGAUGAUUGCAUUUGAACGGAAUCAAUACUGCCGGGUCUGAAGCGACUGCGAUGCUGAUGUGAGAUGAUUGGCUUGUGAAAGUUCAAUGUGCUUCUUUAGCACAGAAGCCCGAACAGAUGCUGUGAUGUAAAGCAGACGCUCGGGGCCGAGGGCAAACAUCCACACGCUAACACCGUGAAGCAAACCAGCUUUAUCAAGUCAACGGCAGGCAGAUCAAUGCAGAGGCGACCUAUUCUCCCUCAUAGUGACAAAGUGGAGAUGUGCACCAAUAAAUGGGCUUUACUUUGACAUUAUACUGAGACAAAAGCCAUUUAGACGACAGCGGCCUGACACAGGAAAGAUGUUGAGCAGAGUAAGAUGAAUUUCUUCCCCUACAAGCAGCUAUAAUCUGAAACAAAAUGCAGCGAGCAGAGCUUUGACACUGAGACUGUCGAAACAGAGGAAGGAACUUUGCAGAGAUCUGCACUUCCUGUUGACGAGAACGCUGUCAGCAUGCGCUCACUUCUGACAACACGCGAAAAACACAACUGAUUUUACACAAUCUGUGAUGUUAACUGAUGGACUGGAGUGGUGUGGAUUACUUGUGGGUUAUUGUGAUGUUUUUAUCAGCUGUUUAAACUCUAAUUCUGACGGCACCCAGUCACUGCAGAGGAUCCAUUGGUGAGCAAAUGAUGAAAUGCUACAUUUCUCCAAAUUUGUUCUGAUGACGAAACAAACGCAUCUGCAUUUGGAUGGCCAGAGGGUCCAUCUCACUGAAAAGCUAAAGGAAUCGAUGCGUCCACAUCAGAGAGAAUAUAAUAGAGGUUCACCUGCCUUUGUGCUGAAACCCUUAACCUGACAACAGCAGAGAGCCUCCAUUUCACAGGCUGAGGUUUGAACUAUGGCUCUCUGGCAGGGUGCGGGGUCCGGGGCCCGAACUCAUCAGCGCCGUGGCAGCCGUCGACGCGGUGAAGAUGAAAUGAAGGAAGGUAAUGUGGGGAAGCAAAUGGCUGUGAAUUCUCCUCUGAAUGUGACUCCCGCGGCGCCCCUCCGACUCAAUUUUCACGCCGCUUGGCUGCAGAAUAAAAGCAGCAGUCCCUGCAUCCACCUGCUCUAAUCCCCUACACAACUACAGCUCCUUUAACCCCGUGCCGACUGUCCUCGCCUUCCCUUUCAGCUGCUUUGCUUUGUAUUAUUGACUGACAGGUUGAAUAAAGGUAUUAGGUGUCAUUGCAUUUUAAUAAUCUGCCCCGCUCGCUGAUUAUAUCAGGGUUGCGAGCGUGAUUUGGAGGGCGGCGUGUGGCCGAGAAGCUGUCCGUAAGUGUGUUUUCUAUUCCUCUUCCUCUUGACAUUUUAAACAUUUCAAAUCACAUUUGAGGGAAAUAAAAAACGUGCAGGGCAUCUUAAGCACCACGCCGGCGUAUUUCGUGUGAUGGGUUUUUCGCCACACAACUUAUUACAAGGCUCGUUCACUUGCCUACCAGGCUGUUUCUUUGUACACCAGCAAUGGAAAACACGGAUUUAGACAAAAUUGACGACAAACACAGAGUGUUAAUUUGGUCUAAUUGCUGUCUUAUCCCAAAAAAACUGUUAUUGCUCAGAGAUUUUUUUUUUUAUUGCUUUUUGGUUACCAAGAUGUCCUUAUUCAUAAUGAGUUCAGAUAAACAUCAGACAUUUCUCCUUAAAUGCCUUACGAAAAAUUAAAACAGACACUAAUGAUACAUAAAGCAGUGCUAUUUUUCAUAUUAUUCAGAUACUAUUAUAGUUUUUAUUCAUAUUUGCAAUACAUCCUUUAAAUAUAUACUUUCCAUUUUUAUUUUAAUUAUAGUUAAAGGUUUAGUAAUUUAGUUUAGUUUUUUAGUUGUGCAUUUUGAUUAUUUUUUAUGUCUAUAUAGUAUAUUUUAUUCAUUUUUAGUUUUAAGUUUUAGUUCUUUCAGUACAUCAAGUUAAACUAAAAGAGAAAUGUUGCAAUGGCACUAGAUAAAAAUAAGUACAAUAUUUAUAAAGGAAUAAGGUUUUUCUUUUUUUUUUACUUCAGUUACUGUACCAUUAACUUUAUUUAUUUAUUUAUUUUUUAGUUUUAGUUAACCAUUAUAUUAUAAUAGCAUUAUAAAAUGAAUCUGAAUAGCAGAUCAUUUGUUUUUGGAGGAAUUUGAUCACAAAGGUUUCAUAUUGAAAUCUCUGUUUUGAUUGCAGGUUCUUCAAAUCUGAAGAUGAUUUUGAAGAUCUUGUUUGAAACUAGAAGAGAUGGAUGUGAUUUGAGUCAAAUCUGAGAAGUGGAAGACUUCUGCAAAACUCUAGGUGACAAAAUUGAGGCACUGUGUGUGAUUUUCCCUUUUUUGUGUGAUUAGAGCAGUCAAUUAAGUUAAUAACGUAGCUUGCUUGGUGCCUCGUCUUCCACGCAGUCGCAGCAUCUGGCUCAUGUCACAAUAUCACCACUACAUCGUAAGAUAGAUUGAUGGGUCAGAUCUCUUAAAAUAAGCACCACUCUGGCAUGUUCCAUGUGAUGGGUUUUUUUGCCACAACUUAUGAGGCCAUUCACUUGCCUACCAGGAUGUUUCUUUGUACACCAGCAUCUGGGAAAAAUUUAUUUAGAUGAAAUCAACAAAUGUAGUGUUAAUUUGGUCUAACUGGUGUCUUAUUCUAGAAAAUAGUAUUAUUGCUCAUAAGUUUAAUUUUACUAUCUCAAAAGGACAUUUUUGAUGUGAUCAAGAGGUCCUUGGACAACCUGCUUCAUCCCAACGAUCUAGAGACCAGCACUAGACUACUAAACCAGUCUGAACCAGGUUAGAAAUUCAUAAUGAUUUCAAGUAAACAUCAGACAUUUCUUCUUGCCUUAGGAAAAAUUUUAAAUAGACACCAAUGAGACAAUCAUUGACACUGAUAGUGUUAUUUAGAAGAAGAAGAAUCAGCUUUAUUCGCCAAGUGUGCGCAAACACACAAGGAAUUUGUUGUGGUUUUUAAGAAGCUCUUGGUACAUACAUGCAUAUAUACAUGGAUAACAAGUAUAAUUUAGAUACUAUAGUUUUUUAUUAAUUAUUUCGAUUUUUUAUGUAUUCCAUUUUCAUUUUAAUAUUAGUUGAAAAUUUUAGUAAUUUAGUUUGUGUUUUUGCCAUUUCUUUUAGUUUUUUUUUUUUUUUUUAAUUUUUAAGUUUUAGUUUAAAUUAUUUUAGUACAUUUAAACUAUGAGAAAUGUUGCGCUGGCAACUAGAUAAAUUGAGUACUUUUUAUAUUUUAUUUCAGUUAUCAUUUACUUCAUUUCUAGUAACGAAAAUGUUUUUUGAGUUUGUGUUAGAAUGAUUUUAGUUUAGUAUUAUACAGAGAGUAUUAUAGCACGAUAAAAUGCAUCUGAAUAGAAGAUCAUUUGUUCUUGAAGGAAUUUGAUGAGAAAUGUAUGGUUUCAUGUUAAAAUCUUUUGAUUUCAGGUCUUCUGAUAGCAGGUUCUUUGAAUCUGAAGAUGAGUUUGGAGUUCUCGUCUGACGCUUGAGAUUUGAUUUAAAUCUGAGAAGUGGAAGACUUCCACAAAAGUCUAGGUGACAAAGUUGAGACAUUGUUUGUGUGAUUUUCCAAUUUUGUAUGAUUAGAGCAGUCAAUUAAGUUAAUAGAGUAGCUUGCUUGGUGCUCAUCUUCUGUGCAGUUGCAACAUCUGGUACAUGUCACAAUAUCACCACAACAUCUUAAGAUAGAUUGAUGGGCCAGAUCUCAAAAAUAGACGCGGCACUUCACACAGUGCCUUGUGAAAGAAAGCAAUGGUGCAGGUUGACCAUGGACACAUAAAUUUGAUUAAGGCGAUUAACAAAUGUGCAGUCUAAUGUUUCCACCCGCGUGGCGUCAGGGAACAUUAAGCCAGCUGAGGCAGUCUUGCAUGAGGAAGUUUAUUGUCUUCCCUUGUAGAUGAGACAUUUGCUGCUCAUUCCUCCCCCUCCUUUAAAGUGCUUUGCAACUCCUCCUUUAUGAAUAGCAAUAUAUUUGCAAUAAUAGAGUAGAGGCAGCGUGGAGAAAUGAAGCGUAGUGGGGGAAGUGUGAGAUAUGGGCCAAUACUGCUAAACACAACAGAGUUCUCGUAUGCGGUGCUCGCUGCAGUGCACAUAUUCACCCAUCUUGCCAAACUCAAGGACAUAUAGAGCAAUCGCAUAGCUAGGCUGUUCUAUUAUAGUUAUUACCGUAACAGUGCUGGAAAACCAUAAUUUCAGAUGUCAGUCAUCUGGAACGUUGAUUUGGCCCAGGUAAUUUGCACUAACAUGGUCACACGCCGGGGUUUCAGAGGUGAUCUCAACAAUGUCUCAAACUGUGCUCCGGUUUGAAAUCAAACGUCGAAAGAUUUCAAUUUUAACUCAAACACUUUUCAUCAAAUUCUACUGUAAUAUCCACGAAACAAUGUUCUGUAGUCUUACUGUAGUCUAACGGUCUUUUCUGGAGAAACAUAUAAGACUUUGAUACUCGCAUGAAGCAUAAUUCAGAUUCCGAAUUUAAAUUGAGGAUUGUAGAAACAGGAUGUAGAAUUGCAAUUCACAUUUGAAUGCAAGGAAGUAAAAUUAAAAUGAAUUGAAAAGAAAAGAAAAUAAGUUUAUCGGUCAUUUUAACUAGAAAAGAAAGGUUUAUCAACACAAACUUUGAAUGUUAUCUUGAAAGCCUUGCUUGAAAGUUUAGCGGAAAAAAAUAGAUUGAAAAAUGUUUAAAAACCAUUGGAGUUUGAGGGUUUAUAUCAACAUAGAUGAUGGAUUGAUGACUGGAUGAUAUAAAGAGACAGACAGACAGAUAGAUAGAACAUAGGAUACAUAGAACGACGGAUGGAUGGAUGGGACAGAUAGAAAAAAGUUUAUAAACCAUUGAAGUUUGAGGGUUUAUAUCAAUCUAGAUAAUGGAUGGAUAGAUAAAACCUAUCAAGAUAGAUAGAUAGAUAGAUAGAUAGAUAGAUAAAAGAAUGGAUACAUAGAACGAUGGAUGGAUGGGAUAGACAGAAGAAAGUUUAAAAACCAUUGAAGUUUGAGGGUUUAUAUCAGUCUAGAUAAUGGAUGGAUAGAAAUAACCUAUCAAGAUAGAUAAAAGAACGGAUACAUAGAAUGAUGGAUGGAUGGUUGGAUGGAUGGAUGGGAUAGACAGAAGAAAGUUUAAAAACCAUUUAAGUUUGAGGGUUUAUAUCAAUCUACUAAUGGAUGGAUGGAUGGAUAGAUAGAAAAUAUCAUGCCAGAAUGAUAGAUAGAUACAUGAUGAUGGAUGGAUGGGAUCUAUAGAUAGAAGAAAGUUUAAAAACCAUUACAGUUUGAGGGUUUAAGAAUGAUAGAUGGAUGGAUGGAUGGAUGAAUGUGGGUAAGAUGCAAUCACAGUGGAGCAAAUACCCUGUUUGUUUAGUGAUAGAUACAGUGAAACUAGGAAUUUCUCAAGAGAAGGAGGAAAAACUGUAUUUUUGUGGGUUUCCGCCCACCCAGAGAGAGAGAGAGAGAGAGAGAUUGACCUCGGCAUUCAUCUGAAUCCUCCUUACAGGAUUAUUCUGAUCUGUGGGGUAAGAUGUCAGCGAGACUUCUGGCUCACACUACAUCUCAACACCCUCCCUCCCAGCCCAAGCCGAGCUCCGCUUGUGAGAAAUAACAACACUGACAGCUAUAUUUAGCCAAGGCCCUCUGGAUCUUCCCCCAUUAGCCACCUCACAGCCCGCAGGCUCCAACAUCUCACCGGCAGCCGCCUCACAGAUCACAGACACCUUGCCGCGCACCUGAGAGCCUCCUCACAGGAACACGUCGACUGCCUGGGAUCCAGGUACAGUCUGUCGUGAGCGUGUGCUGCAGAAUUACCAGGCAGCUGUGAUUCACAGAGAGAAUUCUGGGAGGAUUUGGGGUUUGUCAUUUGCAAGUGUCAUCACUUCGGGGAUUUGCGGAGCAGCAAAGAAUCAAGGAACGUUGUUGGAGAAUCUCCAUGUGCCACGGUUUGAUUUCUCCUUUCAAAAGUUCCUCGCAGAUUAUCCUUACCUCAACAUUUCUAACUCUGCUGAUCGUCCCUUUUAAAAGUCACUCGAUAUCAGAGUGAAUUCAACAGAGAUAGGAGAACGACUGACAGCUUACCAUCUUUCCCCACCAGGAAGUCCACGUGGUGGUACGUGUAGGCGACCCCGAUCUUGGUCUCCACCUGCGGUCUCUUGAGGGUGGAGUAAAUCUUUCCCGGACUGUUGUCUUCCGUCUGACGGUACUUCCUCAAGCCGCAGCCCAUUUCUGCUGAACGAGUGCGCACUUAAGCCUGGGAUGAAAGAGACACGGUCAGAAAGACAAAGAGGUGUUUCCCGUGUGGAAAGUAAUCUGUCCAUUUUCUCACGUACCACAUUAAUUUGCCUCUGCGUGCACAGCAAAGAACGUACAUUGCUGUUCUACAGUUCCUUUCAGCCAGGUACUGCCUCAUCCUGUGCUUGUUUGGCAGAAAGCAAGCAGAAAAAGACCCAAUUAAGGGCACACUAGAUUACGAAAUUAGCUACUAAAUAAAUAAAUAAGAGGCAUAAAUGGGCUUCAGCUCAUCAUGGGAGCCCAAUCUCUCAACUGGCAGGCUGGGAAUUAACACGUCCAGCCAGCGAGAGGCCAAAAGUGCUCUCUGUUCGUCAGCCAAAGCGCCCUCCUUUUCCAAAUCUAAAGUGACAGCCGCCGACAGUCGCGAGCGGAUCAGAAGGGUGCAGCGGCCGGGACGUAUAAUCUGAGAGGCGGCGACGGCCGAGGGUUCUAGAGAAUACACGGUUAAUGAGGCAUCGCCAGCGGCCUGAAUAUUUGUGGCAGAAGCUCGUCGCUGCGACAGGAGGGAAGAACCUAAUCUUCGCGCACAUCCGGGAAGCGUAAUCCUUUCAAAGUGGCACCUCACGCAGGAGAAGAACAAAAAUUACCAUUCAUCUUCCAUCAAGGCGCACAGCUAAAGCUGCGUUUCAUCUCCUCAACUGACUCAGCUGCGGAGAAGGUGCCGAAUGCGUGGCACAGACAGCGAAUGUGACAUCUGAUUUGUAGGCUGUCUAAUCACAGGAGAGGGUGUACAUUUUCUCUCAGAGAGAGCAGAGGAGAGCCUGCCCUAAUUGAACGCGAGGAGAAGCCGUUCAGAGAUCACAGGUUGUUUACAGUGCAGCACCCUGGAAACCACUCACAGCACCCUAGCAUCGCAUCAGAGACUUUUGCACAGGCGAGUACCAUUCAUAUUUCUUUCUGAAAAUGCACAAAAUCGAGUUUGUUUGGUAUUUGUUUUUCUCUCCCAAGGAAACAUCCUCUGAGCUGUAAUAAAAGGGUUCUGCUGAUGCACAUAUGACACUGAAGUCAGCAAUACUCUCCAGUAACUCUCUGAUAGCGAGUAUGCGUGGGGUCGGAGGUGACUAGCCCGUGAUAUGAUGCACCAGAUUCCUCCAUGACAACAGCAGCUCUGUGUGCGGCUCCUGAGGCGCCCGGCGCACAGCCUCCGAACCGCCGUCUGGAACUGAUUAAUGACAGUUUGCCUUCUCUGUUCUCUUUUCUUACAUUCCUUUCUUAAAGGGCGUUCACACUGACAGCGAUUUGCGUCCGUAAGACAUUCAUUUAUAAAGAGAGUUGGCAAUUUCUGGCAAUAUGACUGACAGGGACCGUUAGCGGGACCGCCUACUAGCAUCAACAGCACAAUUCGACUGUGUAUAGAUUAGCAUACUAACAUACUACUUAUUCUCUUUCAGCAGUAUUUAGUAUGCAUGCUGUGUACAGUAUGCAAAUUUUCUAGAUGUAUGUAAAGAAUAGUUUGAUUAACUAGUACAGUUGAGAAAAUGUGAAGUACACAACAGAGAACAGUGCAACAAUGCAAUGUACUCAACAUGACCUUCCAGUUUUGGCAUUGAUUUUUAACAUUUUUAACUCUUUCUUGACUGAUUUGAUCAGACUGCCAAAAGUUUUUAUACAAAAGUUUAAUAAAAUUAAUAAUUAAUUGUUAAAAAACUAGUGUUGUUAUCACUAUAUGUGACCCUGGACCACAAAACCAGUCUUAAGUCGCUGGGGUAUAUUUGUAGCAAUAGCCAAAAAUACACUAUAUGGGUCAAAAUUAUAGAUUUUUCUUUUAUGCCAAAAAUCAUUAGGAUAUUAAGUAAAGAUCAUGUUCCAUGAAGAUAUUUUGUAAAUUUACUACUGUAAAUAUAUCAAAACUUCAUUUUUGAUUAGCAAUAUACAUUGCUAAGAAUUCAUUUGGACAACUUUAAAGGCGAUUUUCUCAAUAUUUAGAUUUUUUUGCACCCUCAGAUUCCAGAUUUUCAAAUAGUUGUAUCUCGGCCAAAUAUUGUCAUAUAUUUUUUGGUGAUGAUGAUGUAUAAAUCUCAAUUUUGAAAAAUUAACACUUAAGACUGGUUUUGUGGUCCAGGGUCACAUAUAUAUAUAUAUUAGAAGAAAGACUAACAAAUUAUAAAAUUAGAAAUGUUGCCUUGGGAAACUACAGUAAAUGUAAGCUAAAGUGCUAAAAUUGCUAAAACUGAAAGAAAAAAACAAAAAAACAAAAACGUAAAGUACACACAAUUACUAAAAUACAAAAAUUUAAAAUAAAAAAAUAUUAAAUGUUUAAAGUAAAUUUUUAAUUAAAAUAUAAGAAUAAAAUCCAAUAAAAAAAAAUAAUACUAAAAAAGUGUUAUAUAAAUUACACUAAAAUAGCACUGUCAAAUAUGUCAACGUAUAUGAUAACGUUAAAUUUUUUUAAAUAACACUAACAUUCUCGGAACAUUGCAGGGAGAUUUUUGUGCAAACGCCUAAUAAAAGCUUAAAAUAAAAAUUACACUCUAAAGGUUAUUUUUACGUUUUAUUCGAUGAUCAACAGGAUAUUUUGUUGGGCUUUUGGUGUAUAUUUCUGCACUGUUGUGUAAGGAAGCCCCGCCUACAGUGAAAUCUCAUUGGUUCAAAAUUACACUGCACAUAACAGUUACAGCUGAUACUACAGUUGUGAUGAAACAAAAGUAGCAACAGAUCUUUUAUUUUGUACUGUGAUGUACAUCCGAGAGAAACGGAUUAACGAAAUAGAAAAAUUGUUGGGCGGGGACUUGUUUCUGUCCAUCGGAUGUUGAUUGGAUGGUGGAUCUGAAUGUGAGCUUGCAGUUAACUUUAAGAAAGGGGUGGGUUUAUGCACACUAAAUGACUGGAGAAGUCUGUUGUUUGACCACAAGAUAGACAUUUUGAUUGAACAUGCAUUUAGAAAAUCGCUCUGAAUUUUGAUUUCAUGUCGACGACUUUAAACACCAAAUAUCUUCAGAUUGUCCUACAUUUGCUUCAUUUUCGCUUUCAGUGUGAAUACAAAUAAUGCUGUCUAACUUGACUUAGUGAAUGCAUGCUCCAAAGUUAUUUAAAUACAUCCUAUUAAAGAAAUUUGUCACCAAAAUCCUUUGAUUUCAGGCAAACAACCGAAAUGAGGUGCUGAAGAAACACUUCUUAAAAAAGCCAUCGGUCAAGCA